rnacentral:rRNA from 1 species
AGUGAACGCUGGCGGUAGGCCUAACACAUGCAAGUCGAACGGCAGCACAGUAAGAGCUUGCUCUUACGGGUGGCGAGUGGCGGACGGGUGAGGAAUACAUCGGAAUUUACUUUUUCGUGGGGGAUAACGUAGGGAAACUUACGCUAAUACCGCAUACGACCUACGGGUGAAAGCAGGGGAUCUUCGGACCUUGCGCGAUUGAAUGAGCCGAUGUCGGAUUAGCUAGUUGGCGGGGUAAGGGCCCACCAAGGCGACGAUCCGUAGCUGGUCUGAGAGGAUGAUCAGCCACACUGGAACUGAGACACGGUCCAGACUCCUACGGGAGGCAGCAGUGGGGAAUAUUGGACAAUGGGCGCAAGCCUGAUCCAGCCAUACCGCGUGGGUGAAGAAGGCCUUCGGGUUGUAAAGCCCUUUUGUUGGGAAAGAAAAGCAGCAGGUUAAUACCCCGCUGUUCUGACGGUACCCAAAGAAUAAGCACCGGCUAACUUCGUG